CAAGCAAAAUCUGAAGCUGUGAUGGUUGCUGUUGCCCUCAGGAACAGGCAUGGGUGGGAAUAAAAUGGAGGGAGGGGCAUCUUCCUGGCAUCUGGAAGGGGAGAAGAGCCCCACUCCUGCCAAAAAAUAUUGAGGCAGGAUCUAUAUUGAGACAGAGAAGCUGAGGGUUUAGGCCAUAAUGGAGCAAAGCAUUGAAACACAUGCCUAAAUAAGUCAGUGGGACUACUCAUAUGCUUUGCUUGUUCAGGGCCUUAGAGGUUAUCUGCUGGAGCAUCAGCAGGAUAAAAUAUUCUGGGAAUCAGCUUUAUUAAGAUAGGAGAGCAAGGAGAGUCCUUGAAAAUUAAUCUUUUUUGUAGUUCUGGCAUAAUCAAAUAAGUCUUGUUCUCUUUUGUCAUCUACUAUGGACCUGAACUGAAAGUGCUGAAAAUGCUACAAGAAAAAAAUGCUAUUUUGACUUUUCUAGCUUUUACCAGGAAGUGGAGAGCAGAUUGAAAAGAGAAAAUUAAAAUUAGAAAUUUCACUGAAUGUUUUUUUUAAGUUCCAUUUAUUUUUUUAAGGAAAAAUUGGUUUGGUUCUUAUUUUCAUCACAGCUGUUUUGCCCAUCUCUAAUACCUGAUAAACAGUCUAAUCAACUUCCACUGGUGUGCAUGCAUGGGACAGGACAGGCAUUUUCUACUCAUCUCUGCUUAAAAUGAAGCUGAUGGAAAUCAAAGAGGAUACAGAAAGGUCAUCCAACUACAGGCUGUCAAGCAAAUGACACUAGCAAGGUGGCCAGAAGACAAAAGCCAAGUACCGAUCUUGCAAAGGGGCACAGUCAGACAUCACCGGGGGAACAAAAGAUGACAACCAUGGUGCACAGAGGGGAGGAGAGAAAAAAGGAUUCUUUGUGGCUGAUUGCAUAACCAUAUAACUGCCAGACACAAGGGCAGAGACGGCCCCUUCUUUAAUCCUCUGGGUGUGUGGGGGAGUACCUCAAGAGCUCAGAGAAGACUGGGAGUAUUGGAGAUCCUCAGAGUCAGGCACAAGGAUAUUGUUAAGAGCUGCUGUUUCCUAGCUCCAUACCUAAAUUUACAGAGCCACAUGCACACAAUAUGGCUGAGAAGAGGCUUCCAAAGGAAUGUAGGGAGGAUGGCAGCACCCACUACUCAUCCUGGACCAAGUUCUUCUCCCCUCUGCUACUACAAAGGAACAGAUAUUCUGGCUCCAAGUUUGAAAAAAAUACUGUAUAUAUAAAAAGUUUGUGAGUUGAUGUCUAUUGCCAUCUGCCAGUUCUUGUGACUAUGUCGCAUAUAGAAUAAAAAUUAGUCUGUCA